rnacentral:rRNA from 1 species
GACGAACGCUGGCGGCGUGCUUAACACAUGCCAGUCGAACGGGAUUUAGUAAACAGAAACCUCGGUGGAAGAUUACUAAUGAGAGUGGCGAACGGGUGAGUAACGCGUGAGCAACCUGCCUAUGGCAGUGGGAUAGCCUCGGGAAACCGGGAUUAAUACCGCAUAAAAUCGUAGAAACACAUGUUUUAACGGUCAAAGAUUUAUCGGUCAUAGAUGGGCUCGCGUCUGAUUAGCUAGUUGGUGAGAUAACAGCCCACCAAGGCGACGAUCAGUAGCCGGUCUGAGAGGAUGAACGGCCACAUUGGAACUGAGACACGGUCCAAACUCCUACGGGAGGCAGCAGUGGGGAAUAUUGCACAAUGGGGGAAACCCUGAUGCAGCGACGCCGCGUGAACGAAGAAGGUAUUCGUAUCGUAAAGUUCUGUCCUAUGGGAAGAUAAUGACAGUACCAUAGAAGAAAGCUCCGGCUAAAUACGUG